ensembl:piRNA 21ur-10624 ncRNA
UUAGUUACGAAUUUGUCAAUU